AGCCUCCUUGUGCUUACCACAGGCUGUGUUCCUACAUUGCAUAGAAAGAGGAGGCAGAAUAAACCUACCCUAUAUACACCUCAGCCUAGGCCACUGUGCCUGGUCUGAAUUGUGAAUAGGGAGACAUGG